AAAGUCGUAACAAGGUUUCCGUAGGUGAACCUGCGGAAGGAUCAUUAUUGAAUUAUGUUUUCUAGAUGGGUUGUAGCUGGCUCUUCGGAGUAUGUGCACGCCUGUCUGGACUUCAUUUUCAUCCACCUGUGCACCUUUUGUAGUCUUUUUCAGGUAUUGGAGGAAGUGGUCAGCCUAUCAGCUCUUUGCUGGAUGUAAGGACUUGCAGUGUGAAAACAGUGCUGUCCUUUACCUUGGCCAUGGAAUCUUUUUCCUGUUAGAGUCUAUGUUAUUCAUUAUACUCUUAGAAUGUCAUUGAAUGUCUUUACAUGGGCUAUGCCUAUGAAAAUUAUUAUACAACUUUCAGCAACGGAUCUCUUGGCUCUCGCAUCGAUGAAGAACGCAGCGAAAUGCGAUAAGUAAUGUGAAUUGCAGAAUUCAGUGAAUCAUCGAAUCUUUGAACGCAUCUUGCGCUCCUUGGUAUUCCGAGGAGCAUGCCUGUUUGAGUGUCAUUAUAUUCUCAACUCUCCAAUACUUUGUUGUAAAGGAGAGCUUGGAUUGUGGAGGUUUGCUGGCCCCUUAAUUGGGGUCAGCUCCUCUGAAAUGCAUUAGCGGAACCGUCUGCGAUCUGCCACAAGUGUGAUAACUUAUCUACACUGGCGAGGGGAUUGCUUUCUGAUGUUCAGCUUCUAAUCGUCUAAGGACAAUUUCUUGAAUGCUUGACCUCAAAUCAGGUAGGACUACCCGCUGAACUUAAGCAUAUCAAUAA
rnacentral:misc_RNA from 1 species